ACCUCAUGAUUUGGGCAUUGGCCUAUCUUUCCAUUAAACCUCUCCCAUGCUUCAAACAACGGUUCUCCAUUCAAUUGUCAAAAGUUUUCAAUCUUAUCCCGCUUUUGAAGCA
rfam:Capsicum annuum cultivar Zunla-1 chromosome 9, whole genome shotgun sequence